GAUGAACGCUGGCGGCGUGCCUAAUACAUGCAAGUCGAACGAGAGCAACCGGUGCUUGCUCUGGUCAAUCUAGUGGCGCACGGGUGAGUAACACGUGGGUAACCUCCCCUUCAGACGGGGAUAACAUCCGGAAACCGACGCUAAAACCGCAUAGGCCUUCGAACCGCAUGGUUCCAAGCGGAAAAGUGGCGUAUUCUUCUGUUAAUGGCUGGUCCCGCGCUGCAUUAGCUAGUUGGUGAGGUAACGGCUCACCAAGGCCGUGAUGCAUAGCCGACCUGCGAGGGUGAUCGGCCACAUUGGGACUGAGACACGGCCCAAACUCCUACGGGAGGCAGCAGUAGGGAAUCUUCCGCAAUGGGCGCAAGUCUGACGGAGCAACGCCGCGUGAGUGAAGAAGGUGUUCGGAUCGUAAAACUCUGUUGUUAGAGAAGAACAAGUGCUAGAGUAACUGUUAGCGCCUUGACGGUAUCUAAGCAGAAAGCCACGGCUAACUACGUG
rnacentral:rRNA from 1 species